rnacentral:rRNA from 1 species
UACGGGGGGGCAAGCGUUGUUCGGAAUUACUGGGCGUAAAGGGCGCGUAGGCGGCCUGCUAAGUCGGACGUGAAAUCCCUCGGCUCAACCGGGAACUGCGUCCGAUACUGGCGAGGCUUGAAUCCGGGAGAGGGAUGUGGAAUUCCAGGUGUAGCGGUGAAAUGACGUAGAUAUCUGGAGGAACACCAGUGGCGAAGGCGGCAUCCUGGACCGGCAUUGACGCUGAGGCGCGAAAGCUGAAGGGUACGCAAACGGGG